UACGUAGGGAGCAAGCGUUGUCCGGAAUCAUUGGGCGUAAAGCGCGCGUAGGUGGCCACAUAAGUCCGUUGUGAAAGUCAAAGGCUCAACCUUUGAAAGCCGAUGGAUACUGUGUGGCUAGAGUACGGAAGAGGCGAGUGGAAUUCCCGGUGUAGCGGUGAAAUGCGCAGAUAUCGGGAGGAACACCAAUGGCGAAGGCAGCUCGCUGGGACGGUACUGACGCUGAGGCGCGAAAGCGUGGGGAGCAAACAGG
rnacentral:rRNA from 1 species